AUUGAACGCUGGCGGCAUGCCUUACACAUGCAAGUCGAACGGCAGCACGGGUGCUUGCACCUGGUGGCGAGUGGCGAACGGGUGAGUAAUACAUCGGAACGUACCUUAUCGUGGGGGAUAACGCAGCGAAAGCUGUGCUAAUACCGCAUACGCCCUGAGGGGGAAAGCGGGGGAUCGAAAGACCUCGCGCGAUUAGAGCGGCCGAUGCCUGAUUAGCGUGUUGGUGGGGUAAAAGCCCACCAAGGCGACGAUCAGUAGCUGGUCUGAGAGGACGAUCAGCCACACUGGGACUAAGACAAGGCCCAGACUCCUACGGGAGGCAGCAGUGGGGAAUUUUGGACAAUGGGGGCAACCCUGAUCCAGCAAUGCCGCGUGAGUGAAGAAGGCCUUCGGGUUGUAAAGCUCUUUUGUCAGGGAAGAAACACCGGCUCUAACACAGUCCGGGAAUGACGGUACCUGAAGAAUAAGCACCGGCUAACUACGUGCCAGCCGCCGCAGUAA
rnacentral:rRNA from 1 species